rnacentral:lncRNA from 1 species
GGGGCCCGCCGCCCCGGCGCGGCAGGGAGCACCCCUUCCCUCUCCAGCCCCGGCUCUUCCAGCUUGGAAGCCGGGCGCCGGCUGCCAAGGCACAGCGAGCAGCUCAAGGGCCGGUCCCGGGAGCCUGGGAAAUGCCCCGUGCUGACUUGGGCCGUUUCCCUCGUGACAGGGAGCUGCCAAGCCGGGAAAUGCAGCCUGGCCUUGUUUCGCUCCUUUUGCAUGUGCAUGCAAGCUGGUGCAGAGGGCACAUGCGCUCGCUGCACCCGCCAGCUUUGCAACAGCCCUGUCACCCCACUUGGAGGGAGCACAGGAGGGUUUGGCACCUUGUUCUGGUGCCUUUUGAGCAUCCAGCACCUCUAGGUGCUCUUCGUAUUCGCGCCGUGUGAGAUGGAGGUGUCCUGGAGAGGCGCUCCUUUUGCAUGUGCAUGCAAGCUGGUGCAGAGGGCACAUGCGCUCGCUGCACCCGCCAGCUUUGCAACAGCCCUGUCACCCCACUUGGAGGGAGCACAGGAGGGUUUGGCACCUUGUUCUGGUGCCUUUUGAGCAUCCAGCACCUCUAGGUGCUCUUCGUAUUCGCGCCGUGUGAGAUGGAGGUGUCCUGGAGAGGGAGACAAGCCUCACACAUUUCUCUGUAGGCUUCGGGCAUGAAAACACCUGGAUCGGGCUCAAUGACCGGAUCGUGGAGCAGGACUUCCAGUGGACAGACAACACCGGCUUGCAAUAUGAGAACUGGCGGGAGAACCAGCCUGACAACUUCUUUGCGGGCGGUGAGGACUGCGUGGUGCUGGUGUCCCACGAGAUUGGCAAAUGGAACGACGUGCCCUGCAAUUACAAUCUGCCCUACAUCUGCAAGAAAGGCACAGGUACCGCCUGGCCCCAGCCCCAGCAUCCCUCCGGGUACCAUCCCUGUCCUACAGCUCUGGCAUCCCUCCCCAGGCACCAUCCCCAUCCCACGGCCCCAUCAUCUCACCAGGCACCAUCCACAUCCUGUGGCCCCGGCAUCCAUCACAGGUACCAUCCCCAUCCCACAGCCCAGCAUCCCUCCCCAGGCACCAUCUCCAUCCCAUGGCCCCAUCAUCUCACCAGGUACCAUCCCCAUCCCAUGGCCCUGGCAUCCCUCCGGGUACCAUCCCCAUCGCAUGGUCCUGGCAUCCCUCCUGGGUACCAUCCCCAUCCCACAGCCUCAUCAUCUCACCGGGUACCAUCCCCAUCCCGUGGCCCUGGCAUCCCUCCAGGUACCAUCCCCAUCGCAUGGCCCUGGCACCCAGGGUCCCUCCCCAUCCCCUGGCCCUGGCAUCCCUCCCCGGGUACCACCCCCAUCCCACAGCCUCAUCAUCUCACCGGGUACCAUCCCCAUCCCACAGCCCCAUCAUCUCACCAGGUACCAUCCCCAUCCCAUGGCCCUGGCAUCCCUCCCUGGGUACCAUCCCCAUCCCACAGCCUCGUCAUCUCACCAGGUACCAUCCCCAUCCUAUGGCCCCGGCAUCCCUCCCCACAUACCAUCCCCAUCCUGUGGUCCCAGCAUUCAUCACAGGUACCAUCCCCAUCCCGUGGCCCUGGCAUCCCUCCGGGCAUCUUCCCCCUCCCACAGCCCCGUCAUGUCACCAGGUACCAUCCCCAUCCCAUGGCCCCAGCAUCCCUCCCCACCGCUCCUGGGCACCUCCUCGUCCUCAGAAAACCUCUCCCCUCUGCUGCCCUCACAGCCCUUCGACAAGGAAAACUCAAGCAGCUUCCCUUAAUCUCCAUUUUUUUUCCCCCACAGCUUAAUUCUUCCCUCUCCACUUUAAUUUGCUUAAUUUGCCGCCAUUAAAACUAUUAAGUUCUCAUUCCUUAUCUUGAAAGUUAUAUUAACCUCCAGCUGUUCGUGCCGAGCCGGAGGAGUACGCCUCCCGCUCCCGCCGGCCACGUGUAAUGAUAUAUCUGUCCCGAUAAGGCCAUUAAUUAAAUAUGUAAAUCCUCGGCGAACACCUUGGUGCAAAACUGUCGGAGGAGCCUCUUGACGGACGGGAUUUAUAGCCAAGCCGUCCGCGG